AUACGUAGGGUGCGAGCGUUGUCCGGAAUUACUGGGCGUAAAGAGCUCGUAGGUGGUUUGUCGCGUCGUCUGUGAAAUUCCGGGGCUUAACUCCGGGCGUGCAGGCGAUACGGGCAUAACUUGAGUACUGUAGGGGAGACUGGAAUUCCUGGUGUAGCGGUGAAAUGCGCAGAAAUCAGGAGGAACACCGGUGGCGAAGGCGGGUCUCGGGGCAGUAACUGACGCUGAGGAGCGAAAGCAUGGGUAGCGAACAGGAUUAGAUACCCUGGUAGUCCAUGCCGUAAACGGUGGGCGCUAGGUGUAGGGGUCUUCGACGACUUCUGUGCCGUAGCUAACGCAUUAAGCGCCCCGCCUGGGGAGUACGGCCGCAAGGCUAAAACUCAAAGGAAUUGACGGGG
rnacentral:rRNA from 1 species